rnacentral:rRNA from 1 species
GUCCACGCGGUAAACGAUGAAUACUAGAUGUUGGGGGAGCGAAGCUCUUCGGUGUCGCAGCAAACGCAAUAAGUAUUCCACCUGGGGAGUACGUUCGCAAGAAUGAAACUCAAAAGGAAUUGACGGGGGACCCGCACAAGCGGUGGAGCAUGUGGUUUAAUUCGAAGCAACGCGAAGAACCUUACCAAGUCUUGACAUCCUCCUGACCGGUCCUUAACCGGACCUUUCCUUCGGGACAGGAGAGACAGGUGGUGCAUGGUUGUCGU